rnacentral:sRNA from 1 species
GUGCUCAUCCUCCUGGUGGUGCGGCGGCUGCGAGUGCCAAGUGAGCACCCGAGGGGCCCCUCUUGGGAGGCUGUGUGGUGGGGGGCCCAAAUGCCCGGGUCCCGAGGCGGCAGAGAUGGGGAUUUGCUGGCGUCUGUUCGCGAUACCCCAGCUCUGGCAGGGUGGAGUCUGCACAGAGCUCGGAGUGCCCCUGUCCCCACCUAUCCCCAGAAACCCCAGCCCCGGAUGGCCCCCGGUAUCGGUUCCGGAAGAGGGACAAAGUGCUGUUCUAUGGCCGGAAGAUUAUGCGGAAGGUGUCACAAUCCACCUCCUCCCUCGUGGAUACCUCUGUCUCCGCCACUUCCCGGCCACGCAUGAAAAAGAAACUGAAGAUGCUCAACAUUGCCAAGAAGAUUCUGCGCAUCCAGAAAGAGACGCCCACACUGCAGCGGAAGGAGCCCCCACCCGCAGUGCUGGAAGCUGACCUGACCGAGGGCGACCUGGCUAACUCCCAUCUGCCCUCUGAAGUGCUUUAUAUGCUCAAGAACGUCCGGGUGCUGGGC